rnacentral:rRNA from 1 species
UACAGAGGUCUCAAGCGUUGUUCGGAUUCAUUGGGCGUAAAGGGUGCGUAGGCGGCGCGGUAAGUCGGGUGUGAAAUUUCGAGGCUUAACUUCGAAACUGCAUUCGAUACUGCCGUGCUUGAGGACUGGAGAGGAGACUGGAAUUUACGGUGUAGCGGUGAAAUGCGCAGAUAUCGGGAAGAACACCCGUGGCGAAGGCGGCUCUCUGGGACGGUACUGACGCUGAGACGCGAAAGCGUGGGGAGCGAACAGG